AUUGAACGCUGGCGGCAUGCUUUACACAUGCAAGUCGAACGGCAGCGCGGGCUUCGGCCUGGCGGCGAGUGGCGAACGGGUGAGUAAUACAUCGGAACGUGCCCAGUAGUGGGGGAUAGCUCGGCGAAAGCCGGAUUAAUACCGCAUACGACCUGAGGGUGAAAGCGGGGGAUCUUCGGACCUCGCGCUAUUGGAGCGGCCGAUGGCAGCUUAGCUAGUUGGUGGGGUAAAGGCCUACCAAGGCGACGAUCUGUAGCUGGUCUGAGAGGACGACCAGCCACACUGGGACUGAGGCACGGCCCAGACUCCUACGGGAGGCAGCAGUGGGGAAUUUUGGACAAUGGGCGAAAGCCUGAUCCAGCAAUGCCGCGUGUGUGAUGAAGGCCUUCGGGUUGUAAAGCACUUUUGGCGGGAACGAAAAGGACUGUGCCAAUACCACGGUUCGAUGACGGUACCCGCAGAAUAAGCACCGGCUAACUACGUG
rnacentral:rRNA from 1 species